GACGAACGCUGGCGGCGUGCUUAACACAUGCGAGUCGAACGGAAAGGCCCUUCGGGGUACUCGAGUGGCGAACGGGUGAGUAACACGUGGGUGAUCUGCCCUGCACUUUGGGAUAAGCCUGGGAAACUGGGUCUAAUACCGAAUAGGACCACGCGCUUCAUGGUGUGUGGUGGAAAGCUUUUGCGGUGUGGGAUGGGCCCGCGGCCUAUCAGCUUGUUGGUGGGGUAAUGGCCUACCAAGGCGACGACGGGUAGCCGGCCUGAGAGGGUGACCGGCCACACUGGGACUGAGAUACGGCCCAGACUCCUACGGGAGGCAGCAGUGGGGAAUAUUGCACAAUGGGCGCAAGCCUGAUGCAGCGACGCCGCGUGAGGGAUGACGGCCUUCGGGUUGUAAACCUCUUUCACCAGGGACGAAGCGUAAGUGACGGUACCUGGAGAAGAAGCACCGGCCAACUACGUG
rnacentral:rRNA from 1 species